rnacentral:misc_RNA from 1 species
UUUCCGUAGGUGAACCUGCGGAAGGAUCAUUAUUGUAUAACCGAGGUGCGAGGGCUGUCGCUGACCCGAAAGGUCGUGCACGCCCGAGUGCCCUCACACACAUCCAUCUCACCCCUAUGUGCACCACCGCGUGGGUCCCCCUUUGGCUUGUUCGGAGGGGGGCUUACGUUUUCACACAAACUUUGUAUGCAGUGUAGAAUGUAUUUCUUGUUUUCGCGAUCACGCAAUCAAUACAACUUUCAACAACGGAUCUCUUGGCUCUC